GGAUAUCAUCGUAUACUGUAAG
rnacentral:miRNA from 4 species